CUGCGGAGGGAUCAUUACACAAAUAUGAAGGCGGGCUGGAACCUCUCGGGGUUACAGCCUUGCUGAAUUAUUCACCCUUGUCUUUUGCGUACUUCUUGUUUCCUUGGUGGGUUCGCCCACCACUAGGACAAACAUAAACCUUUUGUAAUUGCAAUCAGCGUCAGUAACAAAUUAAUAAUUACAACUUUCAACAACGGAUCUCUUGGUUCUGGCAUCGAUGAAGAACGCAGCGAAAUGCGAUAAGUAGUGUGAAUUGCAGAAUUCAGUGAAUCAUCGAAUCUUUGAACGCACAUUGCGCCCUUUGGUAUUCCAAAGGGCAUGCCUGUUCGAGCGUCAUUUGUACCCUCAAGCUUUGCUUGGUGUUGGGCGUCUUGUCUCUAGCUUUGCUGGAGACUCGCCUUAAAGUAAUUGGCAGCCGGCCUACUGGUUUCGGAGCGCAGCACAAGUCGCACUCUCUAUCAGCAAAGGUCUAGCAUCCAUUAAGCCUUUUUUUUCAACUUUUGACCUCGGAUCAGGUAGGGAUACCCGCUGAACUUAAGCAUAUCAAUAAG
rnacentral:rRNA from 1 species